rnacentral:rRNA from 1 species
CCUACGGGGGGCAGCAGUGGGGAAUAUUGGACAAUGGGCGCAAGCCUGAUCCAGCCAUGCCGCGUGAGUGAUGAAGGCCUUAGGGUUGUAAAGCUCUUUUGUCCGGGACGCGGUACCGGAAGAAUAAGCCCCGGCUAACUUCGUGCCAGCAGCCGCGGUAAUACGAAGGGGGCUAGCGUUGCUCGGAAUCACUGGGCGUAAAGGGCGCGUAGGCGGCCUGAUCAGUCGGGGGUGAAAGCCUGUGGCUCAACCACAGAAUUGCCUUCGAUACUGUCAGGCUUGAGACCGGAAGAGGUAAGUGGAACUGCGAGUGUAGAGGUGAAAUUCGUAGAUAUUCGCAAGAACACCAGUGGCGAAGGCGGCUUACUGGUCCGGUCUGACGCUGAGGCGCGAAAGCGUGGGGAGCAAACAGGAUUAGAUACCCUUGUAGUC